GCCCGGACUCGUCGGAACGAAUUGUUUCUUUUUUUUUUUCUUUCGAACCGGUUCAUACCGGAGCAGAAGUCAGUCAGUGGAAUCGUAGUUGUUCUGGCCCGGGGCCGUCGGAACGAGCGCGCGAACUGUUUCUUUCUUUGGAUCAGUUCGGACUGGAAGCUUUGGGGAAUGAGUUUAUAACGGUUCAAUCUUUUCUUCACCCCUGGCUGAGAGCCCGGGAUUAUAGGAGGCUGUACGGAAGAACCAAGCUGCUAGCAGCGCAUCGGACAACGAAAUUAACCAGCACGCCAUCCGCUGGUUCAACCUGGCCUCUGACCGUGGAGGUGGCUGCAAAGAACGUGCCAUGGCCAGAGAGGCAUUAACCAUGGUAAAUCUGUAUUUACCCUCUUUUUGAAACGCUCCAUUUUAGCACCUGUCUCAUUAAAGCCCCCAUCCUGAAAAAGCCCAGUCUGCUCUGAUUGGCUUGCGAGAAAAAUAUGCCACUGCUUUGCAAAGAUGGUACUUAACCUUGAGUGGGGAUACUCAGAUGGGGAAGGCGGUGGUUUAAUAAAGUUGUAUCUUAUUUUAUCUUAUAUUCUAAUAAGCCUGCAUGUGACAUAGGAAGGAGAACCAAAUCUGAAUGGCUUGUUGAAGCACAUGUUUUGUGAUCUAGGCAACCCACAAAAAUCUGUCUGGGUUGUCUUAUUUCACAGUUUGAUACCCAAAUGGGGAGAGAAAAGGGGAGUUUUUCAUGAUGUCUCCCCUCUAGGGCUGGACGUCUAAUUGAAGUAAUUGAAACCCAAAUUCCGAGUUCUAACGGCUGUAAUUUUACCAUUUCAGUUAUUUAGUUGUUUUAUUUCCUGUUAAAAUGUCCCCCAGUGUGUGUGUUUAUGUACUUUCCCCUUAAAAACCUGUGUGUGUAGUCAGUGACUCCGCCCUGUCCUGCUCAGCUCCCAGAGUCUGGAGCACAGGGAGAUGUUAGCU